UCCCCUCGAUAUGCUUCCCAGGUCGAUCCUCAGGACGCCCCAACGGCGAGAGCCCUUCGCCAUCGCCGAGAUCCGAGAGGAGCCGCCUCCACCGAGGUCCGGGAGGAGCCGCCGCCACACCGUCUUCCUCCCCCGCCAACCUCCGAGGCGCCCUACUCGUGGGACACCGCCGCCUCGCGGAACCCGAGGGCAGGGCAGGGCAUGAUAGCGUUGGGGUCGAGGUCCAAGAUCGCUGCCGCCGAGGUCCAAGAUCGCCGCCAUCGACCUCUGAGAUCGCCAUCCCUUUCUAUUUCUGGUUCGCUGGCCUCUCUCCCUUUUCCCAAUCUCUCUCUUUUGUGCGCAUACAUUGCUGCCGGCGUCCACUACCGGCCGCCUCCGUCGUCGAUUGGUGCCCCCAUGGCGCUACUGACUCCGACGAGAUCUCCUAUUUCCAACAUAUGCAGCCGCCUCGCUGUUCUGGCCCCAUGUGCGGCCCCGUGGCUAACCCUAGCCACCUCUAUCUCCGACGGUGGCGCCUCCUCUUCCUCUUGCAGUCCCGUCCUCCUCCUUGCUGGUGCUCCACACGUAUAUCCGAAAGUGACGGCGACCGACAGGCUGUGGGCCUACCAGAGGGCGCGUGGUCGAUGCUCACGACAAUGGUGGGCGUGAGCAUGGCACAGGCAGCGGCUAGGUGCGUGCGGGUGGUAGCCGGCGAGACAUGUUGAUGUUCAUCCGGGCCACACAGUGAGUAUUCUCUGUUUAUGUGAACAUAGAUGCAUCAGCCAUAAGGCUGCACCAUCUCCAAGUAUUUGUGGGUCAAUCGCAGUGCAGGUCCUCUACUAGGCUGGUCUGGUAGUGAUUUCAGGUAAGAAUGCUCUCUCCUCUUUGCAGUUAAUUAAAUAGAUCUGUUAGCUGCUUGACUGCUACAACUGAUUGUAUCACCGGCCGGUUACUUUGGGUGAAUUGGGUAGAACAAAUUACGCCAUGUAUGUUCCAUAUCAUUUUGUUCAACGCUUGUGCUUUUCGUAAUUGGGAGUCUCCAAGUUUUGAUUCCAUUUAUUAGAAAGAUUGCUACUAUCUGCUUGAUGAAUGGAAUGUGAAGAUUAUAUAAAACAGUAGGAUUUUCAGUUUGUAUGCUCGUCCAGUAACUGAUUUUUUACAGGUUUCAUGAUACAGUAAUUGUGCAAAUGUGUUAGACUUUCUAAUUACUUUUACAGUUCCAUUUAAUUGUUAAACUUCUAAUGGGCAUGCUUCUCAGAUCCAAGGCAUGGAGAACUCCAAGGAGUUUGCUGACAAGCUGUUCGGGAUAUGUCGAGGCAGAGGAACAUUGAGCCAGAUGAAGGCAUUAACAAGGAUCGGCUCAGAGAGGUCUAGACGGAGAUUACUGACCACAUCUUGGACUAAGCUAUGUUCAGUUUAAGUCAAUUCUCUUCCUCCUUCAAUUGCCUUCCUCCUUCAGCAAGGAUCAUAUACUGCCCACGCGGCAGCGCGAAGCAGAAGGGCCACAUUGAUUUGUAACGACACGUGUAAUGGAAGGACACCUUCGGGAACAAGCUCACCGAGGUCUUCGAAGUCCAACCUAGGGGAAGCUGAUAAACUGCGGUUGCGGGUGCAGCUAGAUGCUUACAACACUUGCAUCAUUGAGGUACUUGCUCUUCUACCAAACUAAACUAACUGCAUCAUGUGCCGCUGGGAAUGGCAUGUUACAGUGCCAUGUUACACCUCCAGUCCCUCAGGAGUCUUAUUGUGGUGAUCUUGGUCUAAGACCAAUGGUCUUGGAUUACGAAGCUCGGCUUGGGAUUCUGCUACUGCUCUAAUUUGGUGAGGAUUCUGAUGGGAGACGAUAUUUGAAAACAUAACUUUCCCCAAGUAACUCCAACGGUUAUAUUGACAGACUAUCAAAGUAACGCCAUAGAGAGGCAUACUUGAUGUGUGGCAGAGGUAAGGUUCUAUUAGUGUUCUUCUGAUCUUUAGCCUCACAAUCUGCACCUCUCCAAGAAUAAAAUUAAUUCAUGUCUUUCUAUAUUCUUCGGUAAAGCAAACUUGCAUAAAAACAAUGUAAUUUCCCUUUUAGAUGAGAAAAAUAAGACGAAAAAGGGUAAUGUCCCGUUUAGAUGAUUGCCAGGUUUAUUUUAGUUUGCUAUGCUUCCACUCUUUUUGCAACUGCAUCAUGUGCGGUUUCUAUAGCUCCACUUCUACAACCUAUCGACGCGUUUGGUACAUCGCAGGUAACGUAUUCAGUUUUUCGCAUCGGAAAGCGCUGCGUCGGAAUACUUUUACGUAAUUAGUUCAUUGUUUGGUUUGUGCGCCGGGUCCCGACUUCUAACCCAUCCCGAUUUGGGCGGUUUUGAUUUUCUGAACUGCCGUAUCAGAAAGCGUUGUUAGGGGAACCAUCGCUCCCGAAACAAACACUCGCUACGGUUUCAGAGAACGCUGCAAUCGGAAGACGGGCUUUUUUCAGCGAACCAAACGCGUCAUAUGAUUGUUGUGACAUACUGAUAGGAUCCUUAACAAAACAGCUACACUUCUCAUUAACAUUGCAGCGGCCAAGCUCUUCGGAUCAUUCUUCUGAGCGAUUAUUUCACAUACUUCAAUUUGUUGUAUCCUUCAUAAGUGGAUUUUACCCUAAGAAAUAGUAAGUUGUUAUGUUCAUCAGUUGAGAAGUCUUGCACCAUAGUACAGUGAACAAGAAGCUUAUUGAUUUUAUUUAUUUGAUGGUUAUUAGGCUAAGUCAAAGUACUAGCGGGAUUUAUGAACAUCAGGUCACCUUUUAAAGGGUCUCUGAAAGAAGUGGUUAAGGAUCUGUAAUUGUGCCGUGGUAAAAUUUACGGAUGUUGGUGUUUCUUUUCAAGCUAAUAUGUUUGUUUACCCAUUUGGUUCAUGUUUUUGAUACUAAAAUUAGUUUUCUAUUCCACGUGGAUAAUUUGAAUCAGUUCAUCAGACUACAUGGUGAAACAUGCAUAUUGUUUAUCUAAACAUUUAUUGGUCAUUCGUUCACCAAUCACGAGAUCUCUGAAUUUCGAAGGCAAAAUCGUAUUUAGUGAGAGAGAAUGAGGAAUUGUUCUUUCGUAAAGUUUUGCCAGUGUGAUUGUGUUUUAUUUCAAGAUUCUUUCAUUAUGUACCAUGUGUCUCACUAGAAUAAUAUAAUUGUGUACUUAUUUAUAAUUUCUUGCAGAUAUUAUGCUUGGACACAAAGUGCAUGUAAUGCUUGCAACUGGAGUUUGGUUUUUUUACUUCUUCCGCUGUUAUUCCCCUCUCAAGUUCUUGGUUCUUGAAGAUACUUGCUAGGUUUCUAGCUGAAAUUUGUUGGUAGUAUAAUCUCGAUGUAUAUGGCCUUAUUUUAUAUUUCAGGGUGUAUGACCUGAUUUAGACUAUGUUGACCAGUUGUGUUAUGAAGUUUUUUACUGUAUGGCUGCCUCUUGAAAGAGUUCAAGAAUUUUUUCUAUGGGAGAGAAUAGUUGUCAUUAUCAUAGGAAUGUCAUUAAGUUUCUUACUUACCAAUAACUAAAGUAUGGGAGAGAAUAGUUGUCGUUAUAGUAUGGUUCGAUGGAAUAUGUUUUAUGUGCAUUCUACAAGGAUAAUUUCAUUCUCUAUUUCAAAUUAGCUUUUCAUUUCCUCAAAGUACUCUGAGCAAUUAUAUAAGUCCCUUUUUGUUAUGAAUGGAAGCGAGCAAUUUUACAAGCCUUUUUUGUGAUGAAUGGAAGGGAGAAUGUUCUAUUUUCACCUUAUAAAC